CCGCCGGCCUGCGCCGGCGACCCGGUGCCCGGGGUGGCGGGGCUCCGGAACCACGGCAACACGUGCUUCAUGAACGCCACGCUGCAGUGCCUCAGCAACACCGAGCUCUUCGCCGAGUACCUGGCGCUCGGCCAGUACCGCGCCGGCCGGCCCGACCCCGACCCCGACCCCGAGCCCGAGCCCGAGCCCGAGCCGCCCGCCGGCCGCGGCGCCGGCGAGGUCACCGAGCAGCUGGCUCACCUGGUGCGCGCGCUCUGGACGCUGGAGUACACCCCGCAGCACAGCCGCGACUUCAAGAGCAUUGUGUCAAAGAAUGCACUGCAGUACCGGGGGAGUUCCCAGCACGAUGCCCAGGAGUUUCUGCUGUGGCUUCUGGACCGAGUUCAUGAGGACCUCAACCAUGCGGUGCUACAGAGCGGCCAGCCUCCUGUGAAGCCACCGUCAGAGACGGACAUGAUGCCCGAGGGACCAUCUUUUCCUGUCUGUAGCACUUUUGUACAGGAACUUUUUCAAGCCCAGUACAGAUCUUCUUUGACGUGUCCUCAUUGUCAGAAGCAGAGCAACACUUUCGACCCUUUCCUCUGCAUUUCUUUGCCAAUUCCUCUACCCCACACAAGGCCUCUCUAUGUCACCGUAGUGUAUCAAGGGAAGUGUUCUCACUGCAUGAGGAUUGGCGUGGCCGUGCCCCUGUCUGGGACUGUCGCCAGACUUCGGGAAGCAGUUUCUAUGGAAACAAAGAUCCCCACUGAUCAGAUCGUGUUAACAGAAAUGUACUAUGAUGGGUUCCAUCGUUCCUUUUGUGACACAGAUGACCUGGAAACAGUCCACGAAAGCGACUGCAUUUUUGCCUUUGAGACUCCAGAAAUAUUCAGGCCUGAAGGAAUCCUCAGUCAGAGAGGAAUCCACUUAAACAGCAACCUAAACCACUUAAAAUUUGGCUUGGACCAUCACAGACUGUCUUCUACACAAACUGCUGCAAAGCACGGGAGAGCAGACGUAUCACCAGCAAGAGCAGGUGACAAGAUUGUCCUGCUGGUGUGUAACCGAGCCUGCUCCGGGCAGCAGGGGAAAAGGUUUGGACUGCCUUUUGUGCUGCACUUAGAGAAGACAGUGGCCUGGGAUCUCCUGCAGAAGGAAAUCCUGGAGAAGAUGAAGUAUUUCCUGCGGCCCACGGUUUGCAUUCAGGUGUGUCCGUUCAGCCUGCGAGUGGUCAGCGUGGUGGGAAUAACGUACUUACUGCCCCAGGAAGAGCAGCCUCUAUGCCACCCGACGGUAGAAAGGGCAUUAAAGUCUUGUGGACCCGGUGGCACUGCUCACGUGAAGUUAGUGGUGGAAUGGGACAAGGAGACAAAAGAUUUCCUGUUUGCACACACUGAAGACGAGUACAUCCCAGAUGCCGAGAGCGUGCGCCUGCAGCGGGAGCGCCACCGCCAGCCUCAGACCUGCACUUUGUCCCAGUGUUUCCAGCUCUACACCAAAGAGGAGCGGCUCGCCCCCGAUGACGCCUGGCGCUGCCCACACUGCAAGCAGCUACAGCAGGGGAGCAUCACGCUGAGCCUGUGGACGCUGCCCGACGUGCUCAUCAUCCACCUGAAGCGCUUCCGGCAGGACGGAGACAGGCGCAUGAAACUCGAGAACAUGGUCAAGUUCCCCUUGACCGGCCUGGACAUGACGCCUCACGUGGUUAAGAGAAGCCAGAGCAGCUGGAGCUUGCCAUCGCACUGGUCUCCGUGGCGACGGCCCUACGGACUCGGGAGGGACCCUGAGGACUACAUUUAUGACCUGUAUGCUGUGUGCAACCAUCAUGGCACCAUGCAAGGGGGGCACUACACAGCCUAUUGUAAGAACUCUGUGGAUGGACUCUGGUACUGCUUUGAUGACAGCGAUGUGCAGCAGCUGUCGGAAGACGAGGUCUGCACGCAGACGGCCUACAUCCUUUUCUACCAGAGGCGGACAGCCAUACCGUCCUGGUCGGCCAACAGCUCGGUGGCAGGCUCCACGAGUUCUUCGUUGUGUGAACACUGGGUGAGCCGGCUUCCGGGGAGCAAGCAAGCCAGCGUGACCUCUGCGGCAUCCUCCAGACGCACCUCCCUGGCCUCGCUGUCUGAGUCCGUGGAGAUGACCGGGGAAAGGAGUGAAGACGAUGGAGGUUUCUCAACUCGACCAUUUGUGAGAAGUGUCCAGCGUCAGAGCUUGUCAUCCAGGUCUUCUGUCACCAGCCCCUUGGCCGUCACUGAAAGUUGCAUCCGACCUUCUUGGUCCCUGUCUGCUAAGCUGCAGCUGCGGUCCAGCUCUCCUUCCCGGUUCUCAGGGGACUCCCCGAUUCACAGCUCCGCCUCCACCUUGGAGAAGAUCGGGGAGGCGGUAGACGACAAGGUCUCCAUCUCUUGCUUUGGUAGCUUGAGGAACCUUUCUAGCAGUUUCCAGGAACCAAGCGAUAGUCACAGUCGCCGGGAGCACAGGACUGUGGGCCGGGCCCCUCUGGCUGUCAUGGAAGGUGUGUUCAAAGACGAGUCAGACACUCGCAAAUUGAGCUCCAGCGCUGUAGUCACACAGAGCAAAAACCCAGCACAAGGGGGCCGCUUGUCCCCCAUCUCGGACCCAUUUGACAACAAUAACCAGAUCGCUUAUGUGGAUCAGAGCGACUCUGUAGACAGCUCUCCAGUCAAAGAAGUGAAACCCCCGGGCCACCCAGGCUCCCUCUCAAGGAAACCCGAGAGCACAGCCCAGAGGCCCCCCAGCUCCAGGCGUGCGUCUGAGCCAGAUGGAAGCUCGCGGAAGGGGCGGUCCGUCUUGGCCAGCCAGGAAUCAUCUCUCUCAAGUCCGUCCCCUUCUUCUCCUGUUUCUGGAAACAUUUCUGUAAAGCCAUUCCGCACCCGAAACAGAGCGGAUUCUUCCAGACCCAGUGGGCGGCACUCCUCGCCGGCCCCGGCCCGUCCCAGGAAGGAGUCCCCCUCCUCAGCCCCAGGCCCUGGGCCCUCCCCGUCACCCCAGAAGCUGAAGCCAGCUUCUUCCCUCGCUUCCACUGCUUCCUCCACAACUGCCAAAAAGGCCUCGGGCCCUGCCACUAGGGGCCCCUUUCCACCCGGGAAGGGCAGGACUUCAGAUCGGAGCUUAAGCAGAGAGGGCUCCAGACAAAGCCUGGUUUCGGACAGAGCCAGUGUCACCUCCAGCUCCAAACCCAGCUCCCCACGGGUGAGCCAGGCCAGGGCUGGGGAGGCCCGAGGGGACGGAAGGCACAUCAGGAGCUCCUCCAUGGCCAGCCUGCGCUCCCCCAGCACGAGCAUGAAGGCUGCUCUGAAGAGGGACAGCAAGUCGGAUGAGAAGGGACUGUCCUUCUUCAAGUCGGCCUUGCGACAGAAGGAGACCCGGAGGUCCACUGACCUUGGCAAGACGACCUUGCUUGCCAAGAAGGCCGGCGGGAGCUCUGCCAGGUCGGUCUGCAGGAAUGCCGGGGAGGACACGGCAGAGAAAGGCCACCAGCCUCCAGGUUGCCAGCAGCCAAAGGCGAGCACACUUGUGAAAGAGCAGCUUGUCUCCAAGGACUCUGCUUCUGCCAGACACUCUCUGCUGUCCAGCCGCAAGGCCAAGGCCUCCCAGCUCGGCUCUGGGGCACCCUCGUCACCUGCUGCUGGGCCGCCCACCGAGAAACCCUCCAAAAAGCUACCUGCGAGCAUGCCAGCCUCUGCACGGCCCCCUCAGAAACCUCAGUGACACCACCGCACUCCCAGUGUUCUGUCUGUAAAGAUGUUUAUUUAUUUAGAAGCCCCUCCCUCCCACCAAAGCCCUCUGCUUUGUUUGUUUUGUAUUCUUGGGGUCAUGUGCCUGACAGUGUGUGUAUGUGUGUGUGGGUGGGUGUGUAUGUGUGCGCGCGCGUACAGAAUUCAACUGCAAAUUGUUAAAAGUGUCGCCUUAUUCUGCCAUUGAACCAAAUAACAGCCAUAGGCAAAGCAUCGAUACCAAGCUAACUGGAAAAAUUAUAGACGAUACCCUGGACGGUCCCUUUAGCAACUGUACAUAUUUCUUUAUAGAGAACUCUCAUGACUUUUGUUGGACACUGGGGUUUCUAAACCUGUGAACCAGUUAAGCUGUCAUUAGUGUGCUCUGUAGAAGGAUGAAUUAUUUGACUUGGGUCUCAUCUGAGCAGGAUUUGUCCUCACUGCAGAUUGUCACGUGGCACCAGGAGUUCUAAAAACUGUGACACUAACAAUGAAACAAACUGAGAGAAAACUUGCUUCCUGCACUUUGGCCCCCUCCGCCAGUCUUUGUAAAGGGCAAUAUUUUAACACUAAUGUUUCUCAGGUAUAGACUCAGCUAGUCUAGGAUGGUUGUGUAUCAGUAACAGGAUUAAAGGGGAAGGUGGCCUGUCGUGACUGUCAUUUCUCCUACUGCCACAGAUGGAAGUUUUUAGAGGUAGAAAUGAAGUCUGCAAAGCUGUGUGUCCCGGAAGCUGUCUUGAUGCUUGGGGCGUGUCCCAAGAGAUGGCAAAUUGGAUAGCCAGAAAGCCAGCCACUAGUAGUAAAAUGGUUUUUCCUUCUAAAUUUGCUAGCUAAGACCAUUGGGAUUUUGAGACAUAGUAGAGCAGUUCCCGCCUUUGAAAGAUUCCCAGAAAAAAACGGAUUGUCAACUGGAUGCGUGAAUCUGUACCGUUUUCCUCCUCUGGCGUUGCUUUCUUCUGUUAGAAGUUGAAGCUCCAUGCCCCUCACCCCCGACCCCCAUGUGCAUCCCACGUUUCCUCAUCUUGUAACCGGAGAGGAAAGAAGACAGUCGCCUAAUGCCAAAAGUCAGCCAGGGUGGAAGUGAUGUACGGCCAAGCAUCACACGCACACUUCCGGUCCUCCCUGUCAGGCUCAGGCAGGAGCUGGAGCGUCUUACUGCUUUUCAGGAAUUCAUUGAUUUCUUUUCUGGGCUUGAGACCCAACCAGCAGGCCUGGGGCCCAUUCUGCCGAGCCCUGUCCGUGCACAUUGCAUUUCUGGUUUAGGGAAAAAAGGGAGCCUCACAACAAUCUCCCAGAUAAGCCAGAUCCAUAGUUUUUCAAGCUUGUUGGAGGUAUCCUGACAAUUUUUAGCUUUUCCCCCCCUUUUUCUAUUUUUUUUUUUAAAUGUCAGAGAGUCAUGGUUCUGAUUCUCUUUGAAUAGCAUUUGUCACUUUGCUGUGAAAUAUAGCAUGCUAAGUUUAUAUGCUUUUAAAUAUUAACUUUUUUGUUUUUGUUUUGAGUCAUAGACUCUUCAAGUUUUUCCUGAACUCUUGGUGUCCAGACCCAUUUAUAACCCCCUUCUCGGUGUGGCUGUGAGAGGUAACUAGACCACAUACACAUGCAUAGCUGGGGACUCUGCACUGCCUUUUUUUAUUUUUUAUUUUCCAAGGAUACCUCUUGGGAAAUGUUCUCAGUAGGUUAUUUAUCUUAAUUUUGCUGCUAAUUUGAGCAUUAGCAGGUAGCUUGCAAGUCUGGAGGCCGCUUGUGUUGAGGAUAGCUGGAACUUUCGACCCUCGUGAUGUUUAAGACUUCCACGCUCAGCCUGUGAGCGUUACCAGAGUGCUCCGCGCCCUUUAUUGACCACGAGCCUGUCACCCUCUGACUCGGCCCUGCCUUGGUGUCACGGUGCAGGUGUCUGGCUCCCCAAAGCAGCGCUGCUCUCUGCCGUGGUGACUGCCGGUGCCUGGCUGCCUGCACCAGGGUGACUUCCCGACGGCACAUCCACAGCCUAUCCAGCGUUUGGCCGCUGCUACUAUUUCUGCAUUGCUUUCAUUUCCUGGAACAGAUGCCGCAAAUGUGGGGUCAUCAGUAUCAGGAAUCCAGUGUUGGUCUGCUUUGACCUGUCAUCUUUCUUUCAUAGGCAAAUCUCAUUUGAAAUCCGUCUGCAGCUCUGCGAAGUCUUAGAAUUAUAGUUUGAUUACACAAACGAUUUUGAUAACACUUUCUGCAGAGGGGCUGUAACCAGUUAAGCAUUACUAGAAACUAGUUUAAUUUUCACAGUGCUAAAUAUUUUUAUCCUUGACUGCUCCAGGAAUGGAUUUUCUAUUUUGUCUAGUGUCAAAACAAACAAACAAACAAAAAAACAAACAAAAAACCAACUACAAACUCCUUUAAUUUUCCAUGGGAAUCUAGAAAUAAAAUUUCAGUAUCUAUAAACUGUAUGUCUAUGGAGUUUAGUCCUUGUUUCAGAUUUACAUGGAAAAAAUCAGCACGUAGUAUGGCAUUGUCUAGGCUCCUUGAACCUAUUCUAUUUCUGUCCUUGGUAAACUAUGAAAAUGUUUCUGCUUUUACUAGGUACAGCAUGUAAACCACAGAAAAGAAUAUUUUGCCCCAAAGUCUGGAGGUGCUUCUCAGGUGUAAAAUACGGGAAAUUGUUACUUGGUUCAGUUCAGUUCUUUGAUGGGUUAGGGACUGAGUGUUUGUUUUCUGUUUUAAUUUCCCAGGGAUGUUUGGCACAAUGAGCAUACAUGUGUUUUGGGGUUAAAAAUCACCUGUAAGGGCGGCAGGCCUGGGGUUCUGGCUGACAACCAGAUGGGCCUGAUUGGAGCAGUCAUUUCUCGCAGCCUGAGAGUGAGUGACACAGCGCUGGACCAGCGGCCGUGGUGUGGUGACAUACGGUGUCACCUGUGAGCUGUCCUCGGCUUCUGUCAUCAUUCUCUCGUCAUCCAGUCAUUCAUUCUGCAAGCAUCCGUGGAGGGCAAGCCCACGGCUUCAGGAACGUGCUGUGGCUGAGGGGCCCUGGGAGCACAGCCACAGGUGUCCUAAGUGGAGGAACAGUCUUCCCGAAAAAGAGAGCGAAUGGAUUCUGGUGACCCUCCGGAGGCUCCCCCGCCCCACCCCCCAGCAAAGCUGUCCCAUUCGGAAACCAAAAGUGCCCUUGUCAUCUCCGCAGACAUUUUAACGCUCACGGCCACUCUCACACAGCUGUCUCUACUACGUAGUGCUUGGAAAUCCCCGGCGAAGUCACUUUUCAUUACAAUUUGGCCAUCCACGUUGGGAUGAGAUGGAUGUGGGGUGUUUUUGGUUGGGUGGAGAGAAAACGUGUCACCCCUCUAAAGUAACUAUCAGGAAAAAAAUCGGAGCAGUCCGUAAAGGACAGUAGUGGCUGCCUGUAGGGAAACGGAGCAGAGAAGAGCUGUAAACAAAGCUCAUUGGUUUAUUCCCAAUAAACAUGUUUUUGAAAGUAGAAGGACACCUGACGUUACACUUCAUUCUGACAAAUUACCAAACGGCUGACGUUCUUGUUUUUGCUGCAGGUUAUUAUAAUGAUUGGCUGUCAAGAUAAUUAGUGUGUCUGGGUUGGAAUUCUGAGAUAAUACGGAAAUCAUAAGCACAGUUGCAAUAAAACACAUUCUGGGAUGUGGGUUGGACUGUGUAUUGUGUGGAACCGAAAAGAACAAAACUCGCUGACUAACCAGUGCCUGAGUCCCAACCAUAAACACGAGGAGCCGCUGUCGCUGUGCGAGUGUCUGAAAUUCCACGCAGGGGCCGUGAUUGCUAAGCCUGAUGUGCACUUUUGGGGGGAAGUCGUGUGCUUUUCUUGAAAUGAAGCCAGUGUCUCACACUGCCUUCUGGUUGACCCCCAAAGCGUGUGUGUGGCAGCUGCCUUUUGAGCCUGUCCAGCCCUCUCUCCCACGCAGUGAAAACACUUCUGCAUGGCCUCCACCUAACCCAGAAAGCAUGGCCUCACACCUAUGCAAGCAACUAAUAAAACCUAUUGACUGCACUAAAUGGAAGUUUUUUUUAUUUUUUAAAAAAGGUAACUCUUAGAUUAUGGAGCUCUAUUUUCGAAUUUGUAGUUUUUUAAAUGUGGCUUCGUCGUCCAUGUAGACGAGCGUGAAUGUGACGUCUUGCUUUGCUUGGCACUCGUUUCUCCUGGCCGGUUCUUCUGCUCAUUGAUGAGACUGUGUUAGCAGGAGUGGAAUUGGCUAUGCACACAGGUUUGUCUACUUUAUCGAGCCUGAAGACUUUCUUAAAGUGUUUUGUUCUAAAACCAACCUGCCAUUUUCUAUAGAUUGUAACUUUUUAUAUCUUGUAGGGCUCUAUCGUGGUCACAAGGAGAGAAUGUGGCAGCACCGUUAACCAUUUUUAACCCACUUUUGUGGACAUUUAGACUGUUCUGGAAAGCUUUGCAAUGCCCCAGCUCCUGGUCACGUGAAAACUAAGCUCAUGGGUUUAUGGUUGCCUCGUAGAAGGGCCUGGGUUCUAGAGCCAUCUCACAUUCAUUUUAAUCUGGUAUUUCCCAAUUUUGGGGAGAAGAGGGACCCAUAGUGGACCUGGGAGGCUUUUUCAGAUCUCACACGGACUGUCCCCAAGGUUCUGUGACGCCUCUUCCGAAGGGUGUGUCUAAGGUUCUGGUAUGCAAUGUUCAUGAAAAUCGCCUGGGGCCUUCCCACUCACAAGCCUUUGCUCUAAUCCACACGGGUGGGUCCCAGGAGGGACCACGCGGGUUAAAACUCCCACAUGUUUCUGAUACCGAAUUGAGAGGCACUGUUAUGGAACUGGGGCGAACUCAGUGCAUGGAGGUACUCAGGAAGCUGCUCAGAUUCCUCUGUCCUAUUGGAGAAAAGAAAAAAAAUCUGGGGAGAAACUGCUGUCAGCCUUCUGUUUGAAGUAAGGGAGUCUUUGUGAUUCGAGGCCCAGUUUGGGAGCUUGGGGCAUCUCGUGGAUGGCCCGGCAGUCUUUAGUUUGCUGAGGCAGGCAGUAUCCCCAUGGCGUGUGCGUCCUCCCCAGAGCCUGUCCCCUGGGUCCCACAGCAGGGCCAGCACCUUGGCUGGUAGGGAAGUGAGUUAGAAAAUGCUGCCGCGACGCCUUAGUGGCCCAGGGGACCCUGUCCCUGCUUUGUAGUGUGAUGGUUUCUUUGCAGUAGUUACAACAGCAGACCCUGGGCUGCUGCCAGAUUUCCUAUUUAUUCAGAAUGUAGUUUCAGGAAUUAGAAAAGUUUAAAAAAAUGAAUGUGAAGCAUUUUCUUUGGAUUUUUUUUUUUUGUAAACCUCACCGGUAGUUUUUCAUGUAAUUAAAAAAAAAAUCAUAACAUUCAUCCACAAAUUUGGCUGUUACUGAUGGGGGCGAAUAAAAUUUAGUUUUAAUCUGUGGUGAGCUGAACACACUACACCAUCCUCAAAAUAACCUGCCGUGCGUCUCAGGUGGUUUCUUCCUUCUGAGCAUUAUGCUGCCUACAAAAAAAAAGAAAGAAAAGAAACAACUUCCCUAGUGUUUUUCAGCACUCCAAGGCAUAAAAGAUAAAAGGAAAAAUCCAAGUUGGAAGUGUCACUUUAGAAGGGCCACCCAGGGCAGUGAGACCUGUCGUGAUGGAGAAAACGCAAUACGAAGUUCCCUAGGUGCUACUCUCCAUGGCGAGGGGUCAUGAUGCCAGAUGGGAAGGCAGGUAGGGCAUUUGCAAGGCUGGCACUCUUUCUGGGGGCCCUUCAGGUUGUCAUUGAUUUUCCCUGCAGGUCAGCUCACCAACUGUGCCUCUCCCCACUGGUUAAAAGUGAAUUCAAGCCCCAUUGCAGAAACAGCCUCUCCACAGAACGCUGCAGUUUUUACACUGGGGUUUCUAUGCCUGUCUUCGCAGCUGCAUGUCUUAUCACUGUACACAAAAUGCCUUGGUAUUGUUCACGCACCAUUCGUAGUGAUUCCUGUCUAAUUUUCUUCUGUGGUUGUGCAGUCGUAUGGGAGGUUAGUGAUAUACCUUUCCUUGAGGCUGGGAGAAAAGCAUAAUUGUCCCAUUUUAAAUUAUUUUAGAACAAAUGCAUGAGACGCGCCACGGACCUCUGUUAUUUAUUUGUAUGUUUUAUUCAAGGUUGUAUGCACUUUUAAGAAGCAGAAUUUAUAUUUUUUAUGUUUACAACGUUUUCUUUCUGGAACGGCAGUUGAUUAUAUAGCCUACAGUUGGAAUUCAGAGAAAAGUGGAAAAUGUAAUGAAAUACAAUAAAUUUAUUACGUGAUGCCCUCUUCAA